GAUGAACGCUAGCUACAGGCUUAACACAUGCAAGUCGAGGGGAAACGACAUCGAAAGCUUGCUUUUGAUGGGUGUCGACCGGCGAACGGGUGAGUAACGCGUAUCCAACCUGCCCACCACUUGGGGAUAACCUUGCGAAAGUAAGACUAAUACCCAAUGAUAUCCCACGAAGGCAUCCGAAUGGGAUUAAAGAUUUAUCGGUGAUGGAUGGGGAUGCGUCUGAUUAGCUUGUUGGCGGGGUAACGGCCCACCAAGGCAACGAUCAGUAGGGGUUCUGAGAGGAAGGUCCCCCACAUUGGAACUGAGACACGGUCCAAACUCCUACGGGAGGCAGCAGUGAGGAAUAUUGGUCAAUGGGCGAGAGCCUGAACCAGCCAAGUAGCGUGCAGGAUGACGGCCCUAUGGGUUGUAAACUGCUUUUAUAAGGGAAUAAAGUGGGUCACGUGUGACUUUUUGCAUGUACCUUAUGAAUAAGGACCGGCUAAUUCCGUG
rnacentral:rRNA from 1 species